rnacentral:rRNA from 1 species
UACAGAGGGGGCAAGCGUUAUUCGGAAUUAUUGGGCGUAAAGGGCGCGUAGGCGGCGUUUCAAGUGGCGGGUGAAAUCCCUCGGCUUAACCGAGGAACUGCCUGCCAGACUGGAAGGCUUGAGACCGGGAGAGGUGAGUGGAAUUCCCAGUGUAGCGGUGAAAUUCGUAGAUAUUCGGAAGAACACCAGUGGCGAAGGCGGCUCACUGGACCGGCAUUGACGCUGAGGUGCGAAAGCGUGGGGAGCAAACAGG